UACGAAGGGGGCUAGCGUUGCUCGGAAUCACUGGGCGUAAAGCGCACGUAGGCGGAUUGUUAAGUCAGGGGUGAAAUCCUGGAGCUCAACUCCAGAACUGCCUUUGAUACUGGCGAUCUCGAGUCCGGGAGAGGUGAGUGGAACUGCGAGUGUAGAGGUGAAAUUCGUAGAUAUUCGCAAGAACACCAGUGGCGAAGGCGGCUCACUGGCCCGGAACUGACGCUGAGGUGCGAAAGCGUGGGGAGCGAACAGG
rnacentral:rRNA from 1 species